rnacentral:rRNA from 1 species
CCUACGGGUGGCAGCAGUGAGGAAUAUUGGUCAAUGGGCGCGAGCCUGAACCAGCCAAGUCGCGUGAGGGAUGAAGGUUCUAUGGAUCGUAAACCUCUUUUAUAAGGGAAUAAAGUGUGGGACGUGUCCUAUGUUGUAUGUACCUUAUGAAUAAGGAUCGGCUAACUCCGUGCCAGCAGCCGCGGUAAUACGGAGGAUCCGAGCGUUAUCCGGAUUUAUUGGGUUUAAAGGGUGCGUAGGCGGGCCUUUAAGUUAGCGGUUAAAAUCUGUGGCUCAACCCUAGGAUUGCCGUUGAAACUGGGGGGCUUGAGUAUGUUUGAGGCAGGCGGAAUGCGUGGUGUAGCGGUGAAAUGCUUAGAGAUCACGCAGAACCCCGAUUGCGAAGGCAGCCUGCCAAGCCAUGACUGACGCUGAUGCACGAAAGCGUGGGGAUCAAACAGGAUUAGAUACCCUGGUAGUC